AUUGAACGCUGGCGGCAUGCUUUACACAUGCAAGUCGAACGGUAACAGGGAGCUUGCUCCGCUGACGAGUGGCGAACGGGUGAGUAAUGCGUCGGAACGUGCCGAGUAGUGGGGGAUAACGCAUCGAAAGGUGUGCUAAUACCGCAUACGUACUGAGGUAGAAAGUGGGGGACCUUCGGGCCUCACGCUAUUCGAGCGGCCGACGUCUGAUUAGCUAGUUGGUGAGGUAAAGGCUCACCAAGGCGACGAUCAGUAGCGGGUCUGAGAGGAUGAUCCGCCACACUGGGACUGAGACACGGCCCAGACUCCUACGGGAGGCAGCAGUGGGGAAUUUUGGACAAUGGGCGCAAGCCUGAUCCAGCCAUGCCGCGUGUCUGAAGAAGGCCUUCGGGUUGUAAAGGACUUUUGUCCGGGAGCAAAUGCCUGGUGUUAAUAGCAUCGGGAGCUGAGAGUACCGGAAGAAUAAGCACCGGCUAACUACGUGCCAGCCGCCGCCGUAACAC
rnacentral:rRNA from 1 species